CCCUUUUGGUGCCAGCAUGGCUAACCCUUGGGGGAUGUGCCUUAAUGAGUUCCAUAUUGGUUGGGGGAUGAAGCCAUCCAAGUUUCGUUGUCUUUAUGGUGGCUUCCCCAGAGCCGAAGGGGACGUGUUCUCCCCUCCCAACGAGAACUGCACGGUCUGCAUCUGCCUUGCUGGGAACGUUUCCUGUAUCGCCCCCGAGUGUCCUCCUGGUCCUUGCCUGACCCCGCCGCAGUCAGAC